rnacentral:rRNA from 1 species
AUGGCAGCGUUCCACCCCCUGGUCGCCUCGCGCGUCCGCCUCACCACCCCGCUCCUCCCCGCCGCCGCUCCCGCCGCCGCCGCAGCCGGGGUCUCCUUCCACCGGCGCCGCUUCUCCGCCAUCGUCGCCGCGGCGACCGCCCACGCGAAAACCGAGUUUGACUUCAACUCCUACAUGGGGGAGCGGGCGGUGGCCGUGAACAGCGCCCUGGACGCGGCCGUCCCGGCCGGCGAGCCCCCCGCGGCGCUCCACGACGCGAUGCGGUACGCGCUGCUGGCCGGGGGCAAGCGCGUGCGCCCGGCCCUCUGCCUGGCCGCCUGCGUCGUGUCCGGCGGCCGCGAGGCCUGGGCGAUGGCCCCCGCCGCCGCGGUCGAGAUGGUGCACACCAUGUCGCUCGUGCACGACGACCUCCCCUGCAUGGACGACGACGACCUCCGCCGCGGCAAGGCCACCUGCCACGUCGUGUACGGCGAGCCCAUCGCCGUGCUCGCCGGCGACGCCCUGCUCGCGCUCGCCUUCGAGCACAUGGCCAGCGUCGACUCCUACCCUCCGGACGUUGACCCCGCCAAGCACGCCGCCCGCGUCGUCCGCUCCAUUGGUGAGCUCGCGCGCUGUAUCGGGUCAGAGGGCCUCGUCGCCGGCCAGGUUGUUGAUCUGGAGAUGACUGGCUCAACUGAGACUGUUCCACUUGACCGCCUUGAGUACAUCCAUCUGCACAAGACUGCUGCAUUGCUUGAGGCCUCAGUGGUUAUUGGAGCAAUCAUCGGGGGUGGCUCGGAAGAGCAGAUUGAGCGGUUGCGCAAGUACGCGAGAUCAAUUGGGCUGCUGUUCCAGGUGGUUGAUGACAUUCUUGAUGUGACCAAGUCAUCAGAGGAGCUAGGGAAGACAGCUGGGAAGGACUUGGCGAGUGACAAGACGACAUACCCGAAGUUACUAGGGUUGGAGAAGUCACAGGAAUUUGCGGAGAAGUUGCUUUCUGAUGCAAAGGAGCAACUUGCUGAUUUUGAUAAAGAGAAGGCAGCACCGCUAUUGUACUUGGCCAAUUAUAUUGCCUAUCGGCAGAACUAA